rnacentral:lncRNA from 1 species
CUCAACCCAGAAGCAGAAGCAGAAGUGGACGUCGUUGAUGAAGAAGAAGAGGAGACCGAGAUACAGGUUGAUCACAUGCUGAACAACGACGAUGAAGAUGAUGAUCAACCACCACCAAUACCUCUUAGUCGUGUCUACAAUCCGCCUCAACAUAUGACAAAUAUGGAUCUUCACGACGAUGAAACAUCCAACAGUGUUUUCU